AAUGGGAUAGCUGGGUCAAAUGGUAGUUCCAUCUCCAAUUUUCCAAGGAAUCUCCAUACUGCUUUCCAUAGGGGCUGUACCAAUUUGCAAUCCCAUUAGCAAU
rnacentral:pre_miRNA from 1 species